rnacentral:rRNA from 1 species
AUGGGAUCUCUCUCCGGCGUCCUAGCCUUUGCCGUCUUGGCGGCGCUCGCCGCCGGCGGCUUCUGCGCCUCAAACGUGCCACCCGGCCCCGACAUCACGGCGGACUACAACCAGCCGUACCUUCCCGCCAAGGCCACCUGGUACGGCCUGCCCACCGGCUCCGGCCCCGAAGACAACGGCGGCGCGUGCGGGAUCAAGGACGUGAACCUGGCUCCCUACAACGGCAUGAUCGCCUGCGGCAACCUCCCCAUCUUCAAGGACGGCAAGGGCUGCGGCUCCUGCUUCCAGAUCAGGUGCACCAACCAUUCUGCCUGCUCCAAGAAGCCGGUGGGGGUGGUCAUCACGGACAUGAACUACGAGCUCCUCUCGCCCUACCGCUUCGACCUGUCCGGCAGGUCAUUCGGCGCCAUGGCCGAGCCGGGGAAGGAGCAGGAGCUCCGCAGCGCCGGCAUGAUCGACCUGCAGUUCAGGAGGGUGCGGUGCCAGUACGCGCCUGGCACCAAGAUCGUCUUCCACGUGGAGAAGGGCUCCCACGCCAACUACCUCGCGGUGCUGGUCAAGUUCGUCGCCCAUGAAGGCACCAUCGUGCAGAUGGAGAUCAGGGAGAAGAAGUCCAAGCAGUGGAAGCCGAUGGAGCACUCAUGGGGGGCUAUCUGGAGGGUGGGCAGGGUCGAGCCGCUCGUGGGCCCCUUCUCCUUCCGCCUCACCACCGAGUCCGGCAGGAGGCGCAUUGCGCACAAAGUUAUCCCCGCCGGUUGGACGGCCGACACUACCUACAAGUCUGACGUCCAGUUCUAA